rnacentral:misc_RNA from 1 species
GGAUGAGCUAAACUCAAGCCUAGCUAUUAAAAUCUUAGGCCACAUUUACUUUGAAGUAAAAUCUGUAUUUCAUUGAUUAAUUGAUUGAUUUAAUAUUGAUGCACGAGAAAUGAAACAAUAUAGAUAUUAAAUAGCAAAAUCACACAUUUUUCUUAAAUUUUCAUAUUAAUACAUUUUAUUUUAAAUAUAGAUAUUUUAUAAUUAUUACAUAUAUA